AACAAGAGUUACUUUACCCAACUCCCAAGGAAAUUGAUAAAAGAAAAACAUGUCUGCAUACUAAAUGUUCUUGCAAAUCUUGUUCUCAGAUUGUCAAUUGAAGGCGACCACGAGAUAUUCUCAUGUUCUUUUAUAAUGUUUAUUUGGGGAUUAAAAUCUUGAUAAUUAGAUGUACUGCUUCGCUUCAUAUGUAAUUUCCCUCAUGCCUUCUAAUCCGUUCAGAUGACUAGCUAUUAUCCACAUUAGGUUUUGCUCUAUCUAAUUGGUCGUUCAAUUAGUCAAAUAGCCGUUUCAUUUUUAUUAUGCUGACACAAGAUCUGUCUCUGUUCUAAGAUUUAGUUUCUGGUCACUUUUUGUGAGGUUUUUCAUCAAAGAUUCUCUUUAAACUCCUAUUUUAUACCUUUCUUUAUGGUUCUUUGCAUGGAAGUACUCUGUCUUCUUGCUUAUAUUAUUCUUCUGCUAUCAUACAGAUUUGGAUGCACCUGCACAGUACUGAUAGUACAUGAAAUUCAUCAACCUGCUGUUGCCGCAACCAACCAAAAUUUGCUCUAACAGAGUGAUGAAUACAAUAUGCAUGCUAAGCUUUCUUCAAAUUAUGCUAAUUGAUCUUAAAAAGCUGGCUACUGGUGUUAUUUGCUGCAAUUUAUUUCUGACAGCCAGGUAGUCUUGGAAUGCUUUCGUGAUGCAAUUUAUUUCUGACAGACAAGCUAUGCUAAUUGAUCUUUAAAAGCUGGCUACUGGUGUUAUCUGCUUUGUGGAAGGCUGUUAGCAUUAAACUUUAGUGCUCGCCUGUUCAUCAUAGUCUCAUUCCCUAGAUAAUUAAUGAGGCAUGAAAAAUAGGUGAAAUUGCAGGAAAAUUGAAGAUGGGAACACGAUUCAUUUUGUCAAUGAGAACAUCUACUGUUACAGAUACACUUUCUGUAUUCUACCUAUCGAUGGCGUAAUGUUUGAAUAUUAAGUCAUUUCUUUUUGUCAUUAGCAGGUGCUUUUAUUUAUGUUCAUAUUCCACGUAUGCAUGUGCUGCUCCGGUGAUGUUUUAUUAGUUGAUUGGCAUAUAUGGAUCUCUCCAUGUUUAUUAGUUGAUCUCCAACCCCUACUUUGCUGUGGUGCUAUGGGAGCAAGAAGAGCAUGCAUGCUUUCUCUCUACAUCUAGGGUCCAUACGGCCAGAUUGACGGGCCUAAACUCUGGCUUCACUUGGAUUUAUGUGAAUAUAAGCGUAAGAGGUCUAGUGGCAAUGCUACAAAAUCACUGCAGGCGAUAUAAUAACGUUGUAGAUAGACGGAGACUGAAUCAGUUGACACUACUUUGAUGUCUAUCGAGCCAAUGGGACAACAAAGUCCUUGCAGAAAAGAAGAACCGGAAGCAGGUUAUCUAUCUUCACGAGCAAGC